rnacentral:rRNA from 1 species
UAACAGAGAGCUUGCUCUCGGGUGACGAGCGGCGGACGGGUGAUUAAUGUCUGGGAAACUGCCUGAUGGAGGGGGAUAACUACUGGAAACGGUAGCUAAUACCGCAUAACGUCGCAAGACCAAAGUGGGGGACCUUCGGGCCUCAUGCCAUCAGAUGUGCCCAGAUGGGAUUAGCUAGUAGGUGGGGUAACGGCUCACCUAGGCGACGAUCCCUAGCUGGUCUGAGAGGAUGACCAGCCACACUGGAACUGAGACACGGUCCAAACUCCUACGGGAGGCAGCAGUGGGGAAUAUUGCACAAUGGGCGCAAGCCUGAUGCAGCCAUGCCGCGUGUGUGAAGAAGGCCUUCGGGUUGUAAAGCACUUUCAGCGGGGAGGAAGGCGAUAAGGUUAAUAACCUUGGCGAUUGACGUUACCCGCAAAAAAAGCACCGGCUAACUCCGUGCCAGCAGCCGCGGUAAUACGGAGGGUGCAAGCGUUAAUCGGAAUUACUGGGCGUAAAGCGCACGCAGGCGGUCUGUCAAGUCGGAUGUGAAAUCCCCGGGCUCAACCUGGGAACUGCAUUCGAAACUGGCAGGCUAGAGUCUUGUAGAGGGGGGUAGAAUUCCAGGUGUAGCGGUGAAAUGCGUAAAGAUCUGGAGGAAUACCGGUGGCGAAGGCGGCCCCCUGGACAAAGACUGACGCUCAGGUGCGAAAGCGUGGGGAGCAAACAGGAUUAGAUACCCUGGUAGUCCACGCCGUAAACGAUGUCGAUUUGGAGGUUGUGCCCUUGAGGCGUGGCUUCCGGAGCUAACGCGUUAAAUCGACCGCCUGGGGAGUACGGCCGCAAGGUUAAAACUCAAAUGAAUUGACGGGGGCCCGCACAAGCGGUGGAGCAUGUGGUUUAAUUCGAUGCAACGCGAAAGAACUUUACCUGGUCUUGACAUCC